rnacentral:lncRNA from 1 species
AGCCCUAUUUCUGAUUCCAAACUCUGCAUGCUUACCAAUAUUAAUUCUGUCACCUGGAUUAUAAAUUCAUGUGUCUCUAAUCACAUGACACAUGAUAAACAGUUACUUUUUAACAUCACACCUUUAACUCUGCCCUAUCUUGUCACUCUUCCUAAUGGCUAUAAAGUAAAAGUAACAUGCACAGGUUCUUUUGCACUGACUCCUUCCAUCACUCUUCACAGUGUACUGCUGGUUCCUUCUUAUAACAAAACUUGAUUUCUGUCCACAAGUUAGUGAAGCAGUUGCAUUGUAUAGUUUUGUUCACUGAACAUUCAUGUUUACUCCACAUGAUACAUGACCCUUCUCUGAGGAGGCCUCUGGAUCUUGGUAGAGAAGCUGAUGGCCUAUAUAAACUUCUACAUGAUACAGGACCCUUCUCUAAGGAGGCCUCUGGAACUUGGUAGAGAAGCUGCUGGCUUAGAUAAACUGGCUUGGGUUCCUCUCCCCCUUCUUCCUCUAUUAGUUGUUCCUCUACUUCUGUUUGUUCUGUGUCUGCUUCUUGUAAUGAU